rnacentral:lncRNA from 1 species
UUAAAAAGGAUAAAUUACAUAGUAGCCCCUCAAGUUUGAGGUCUAUUACAAUCGCAUACAACAAUUUCAAAACAUUUCACUUUCAUACCUCAACUACUAUUUUUUUUCAAUAUAGUACCUCCGUUAUAUUUUCCAUCCACUAAUCCAUUAAAUGUUGAAGUGGCUGCCACAUAUAUGCCAUGUGGCUGCCAAAUGUCUGCCACAUGGCAAAUAAAAUAAUUUUUUUAUUUUUUUUGAAAAACCCGAAUUUCUAAACAAAACAAAAUUGAGAAGAAAAAAAAUUGAAAC